rnacentral:tRNA from 1 species
GGGCGAUUAGCUCAAUUGGCUAGAGCACUUCGCUUACACCGAAGGGGUUAUAGGUUCGAGUCCUUUAUCGCCCACCC